rnacentral:rRNA from 1 species
CCUACGGGUGGCAGCAGUGAGGAAUAUUGGUCAAUGGGCGCGAGCCUGAACCAGCCAAGUCGCGUGAGGGAAGACGGUCCUAUGGAUUGUAAACCUCUUUUGUCGGGGAGCAAAAGACGCCACGCGUGGCGUUCCGAGAGUCCCCGAAGAAAAAGCAUCGGCUAACUCCGUGCCCGCAGCCGCGGUAAUACGGCGGAUUCGAGCGUUAUCCGGAUUUAUUGGGUUUAAAGGGUGCGCAGGCGGAAGCUCAAGUCAGCGGUAAAAUUGAGAGGGUCAACCUCUUCGAGCCGUUGAAACUGGUUUUCUUGAGUGAGCGAGAAGUAUGCGGAAUGCGUGGUGUAGCGGUGAAAUGAAUAGAUAUCACGCAGAACUCCGAUUGCGAAGGCAGCAUACCGGCGCUCAACUGACGCUCAUGCACGAAAGUGUGGGUAGCGAACAGGAUUAGAUACCCGGGUAGUC